rnacentral:rRNA from 1 species
AUGGCAGAUCCAACCAAGGAGAAAUCAGGGGAUUCUAGUGUGGAUAAGUUGUAUGAGAUUUUAAGCAAAGUAUUUGAGCAGCAACAGCAACAAAUCAAAGUGGUUCCUGAAGCAAUCAAGUAUGCACUUGAGCCUAAUCCAGUAAAGUUGGCUGGACCGAGCAAUUACAUCAGUUGGGCGCGUCAUGCCCAGUUAAUUCUGAGUUCUCAUGGCUAUGAAGAAUUGCUUAGUGCUGAUGAAGAGAAACUGAAAAGUGGCACUAGCACAAAACAGAUUAAUGAUAGAGUGUUGGUCUGGUUAUUAGGAAGCAUGGAACCACCUAUUCGAGAACAAGUUGAGACUAUGACUACUAUAUUUGAAGUGUGGAAAGCUUUGGAGAAGCAAUUUUCAGGAAAGUCAAAUAAGAUGCAAGCUACUCGCAUCAUGCAUGAGUUGACUAACUUGAAGCAAGGCUCGAAAUCAGUGACUGAGUAUGCAGGUGAGAUGAAGAGAUUGUACAGGGAGUUGCAUUAUUACCACCCUUUUGAGCCUGUUGACAAGAAUGACAUGGCUGUUCACCAUACCUGGUUUGAACCGUUUGUGGGCAAGCUCUUCCUCGAUGGUCUAAAUCAGGAGUUUGAUCUCCGUCGUCAGCUUAUAUUCUCCAAGACUGAAUGGCUAAGCCUUGACGAUAUCAUUUCCAAUGUGAUUGAGGAGGAGACUCGUCUUGCUCAACCCAAGGAGCAUGGUCAAGAAAAAUCAGAUGCACGUGCAGCCCUAUCCAUACAAGCUCGUCGUGCUCCUAAGUCCUUUGGUAAAAUAGAUAAAAGCAAACUUUUUUGCAACCAUUGCAAAAGGCCUGGACACACAAAGGAUGCAUGCUUUGAGCUGCAUGGCUAUCCAACUUGGUGGGAAAAAGGAAAGUCUCAGCCAGGGGGAGGUCAGGGAGCUCAUAAAAGACAAGCUAACCUCACUACAUCCAAGGGGGGGCUAUCGGUGAUAGAUGUGCGAGCUCUUGAGGAUUUCACCUCCAAGCUUAGACUCUCAGAAGACUUGUCUUCCUCCCAGGAUUCCUCUAAAGUUGAAUCUAGUUUCCAUGCUACUUCACACAAAGGUAUGACACCUCACCAGGCCCACAAUUUUACAACACAAUCAAAAUCUUGGAUUAUUGAUACAGGAGCUACAAACCACAUGACAGGAGCUUCAAAUAUAUUCACUUCCUAUACACCUUGUUCAAGAGCUAGGGACAGGGAGACUAUUGGGGACUGGGACCGUGCAUGA